CCAACAUAAGAUGGCUGUACUGGCCUCCUGGGGCUAAAUUACAGCAACAUUCAUCCUAAACCACGACUGCCAUGCUAUGUUGGAAAACAACCUUUACUACAA